rnacentral:rRNA from 1 species
CAGUAGCCACGGUAAAACGUAGGGUGCGAGCGUUAAUCGGAAUUACUGGGCGUAAAGCGUGCGCAGGCGGUUCGUUAAGACAGAUGUGAAAUCCCCGGGCUUAACCUGGGAACUGCAUUUGUGACUGGCGAGCUAGAGUAUGGCAGAGGGGGGUAGAAUUCCACGUGUAGCAGUGAAAUGCGUAGAGACGUGGAGGAAUACCGAUGGCGAAGGCAGCCCCCUGGGCCAAUACUGACGCUCAUGCACGAAAGCGUGGGGAGCAAACAGGAUUAGAUACCCCGGUAGUCCCUGUCUCUUAUAC